UACUAAAGGAGGUAGAGGACUAAAGGAGGUAGAGUACUAAAGGAGGUAGAGGACUAAAGGAGGUGUAGGGUAGUGCUAGGGCUAGGGUAGAGUACUAAAGGAGGUAGAGUACUAAAGGAGGUGUAGGGUAGUGCUAGGGCUAGGGUAGAGUACUAAAGGAGGUAGAGUACUAAAGGAGGUAGAGGACUAAAGGAGGUGUAGGGUAGUGCUAGGGCUAUGUGUGCUGGGACAGGAGGUUAUGUGAGGACAGAAA